rnacentral:rRNA from 1 species
AGCGUACACGGUGGAUGCCCUGGCAGUCAGAGGCGAUGAAGGACGUGCUAAUCUGCGAUAAGCGUCGGUAAGGUGAUAUGAACCGUUAUAACCGGCGAUUUCCGAAUGGGGAAACCCAGUGUGAUUCGUCACACUAUCAUUAACUGAAUCCAUAGGUUAAUGAGGCGAACCGGGGGAACUGAAACAUCUAAGUACCCCGAGGAAAAGAAAUCAACCGAGAUUCCCCCAGUAGCGGCGAGCGAACGGGGAGCAGCCCAGAGCCUGAAUCAGUGUGUGUGUUAGUGGAAGCGUCUGGAAAGGCGCGCGAUACAGGGUGACAGCCCCGUACACAAAAAUGCACAUACUGUGAGCUCGAUGAGUAGGGCGGGACACGUGGUAUCCUGUCUGAAUAUGGGGGGACCAUCCUCCAAGGCUAAAUACUCCUGACUGACCGAUAGUGAACCAGUACCGUGAGGGAAAGGCGAAAAGAACCCCGGCGAGGGGAGUGAAAAAGAACCUGAAACCGUGUACGUACAAGCAGUGGGAGCACAGAGCAAUCUGUGUGACUGCGUACCUUUUGUAUAAUGGGUCAGCGACUUAUAUUCUGUAGCAAGGUUAACCGAAUAGGGGAGCCGAAGGGAAACCGAGUCUUAACUGGGCGUUAAGUUGCAGGGUAUAGACCCGAAACCCGGUGAUCUAGCCAUGGGCAGGUUGAAGGUUGGGUAACACUAACUGGAGGACCGAACCGACUAAUGUUGAAAAAUUAGCGGAUGACUUGUGGCUGGGGGUGAAAGGCCAAUCAAACCGGGAGAUAGCUGGUUCUCCCCGAAAGCUAUUUAGGUAGCGCCUCGUGAAUUCAUCUCCGGGGGUAGAGCACUGUUUCGGCAAGGGGGUCAUCCCGACUUACCAACCCGAUGCAAACUGCGAAUACCGGAGAAUGUUAUCACGGGAGACACACGGCGGGUGCUAACGUCCGUCGUGAAGAGGGAAACAACCCAGACCGCCAGCUAAGGUCCCAAAGUCAUGGUUAAGUGGGAAACGAUGUGGGAAGGCCCAGACAGCCAGGAUGUUGGCUUAGAAGCAGCCAUCAUUUAAAGAAAGCGUAAUAGCUCACUGGUCGAGUCGGCCUGCGCGGAAGAUGUAACGGGGCUAAACCAUGCACCGAAGCUGCGGCAGCGACGCUUAUGCGUUGUUGGGUAGGGGAGCGUUCUGUAAGCCUGCGAAGGUGUGCUGUGAGGCAUGCUGGAGGUAUCAGAAGUGCGAAUGCUGACAUAAGUAACGAUAAAGCGGGUGAAAAGCCCGCUCGCCGGAAGACCAAGGGUUCCUGUCCAACGUUAAUCGGGGCAGGGUGAGUCGACCCCUAAGGCGAGGCCGAAAGGCGUAGUCGAUGGGAAACAGGUUAAUAUUCCUGUACUUGGUGUUACUGCGAAGGGGGGACGGAGAAGGCUAUGUUGGCCGGGCGACGGUUGUCCCGGUUUAAGCGUGUAGGCUGGUUUUCCAGGCAAAUCCGGAAAAUCAAGGCUGAGGCGUGAUGACGAGGCACUACGGUGCUGAAGCAACAAAUGCCCUGCUUCCAGGAAAAGCCUCUAAGCAUCAGGUAACAUCAAAUCGUACCCCAAACCGACACAGGUGGUCAGGUAGAGAAUACCAAGGCGCUUGAGAGAACUCGGGUGAAGGAACUAGGCAAAAUGGUGCCGUAACUUCGGGAGAAGGCACGCUGAUAUGUAGGUGAAGCGACUUGCUCGUGGAGCUGAAAUCAGUCGAAGAUACCAGCUGGCUGCAACUGUUUAUUAAAAACACAGCACUGUGCAAACACGAAAGUGGACGUAUACGGUGUGACGCCUGCCCGGUGCCGGAAGGUUAAUUGAUGGGGUUAGCGCAAGCGAAGCUCUUGAUCGAAGCCCCGGUAAACGGCGGCCGUAACUAUAACGGUCCUAAGGUAGCGAAAUUCCUUGUCGGGUAAGUUCCGACCUGCACGAAUGGCGUAAUGAUGGCCAGGCUGUCUCCACCCGAGACUCAGUGAAAUUGAACUCGCUGUGAAGAUGCAGUGUACCCGCGGCAAGACGGAAAGACCCCGUGAACCUUUACUAUAGCUUGACACUGAACAUUGAGCCUUGAUGUGUAGGAUAGGUGGGAGGCUUUGAAGUGUGGACGCCAGUCUGCAUGGAGCCGACCUUGAAAUACCACCCUUUAAUGUUUGAUGUUCUAACGUUGACCCGUAAUCCGGGUUGCGGACAGUGUCUGGUGGGUAGUUUGACUGGGGCGGUCUCCUCCUAAAGAGUAACGGAGGAGCACGAAGGUUGGCUAAUCCUGGUCGGACAUCAGGAGGUUAGUGCAAUGGCAUAAGCCAGCUUGACUGCGAGCGUGACGGCGCGAGCAGGUGCGAAAGCAGGUCAUAGUGAUCCGGUGGUUCUGAAUGGAAGGGCCAUCGCUCAACGGAUAAAAGGUACUCCGGGGAUAACAGGCUGAUACCGCCCAAGAGUUCAUAUCGACGGCGGUGUUUGGCACCUCGAUGUCGGCUCAUCACAUCCUGGGGCUGAAGUAGGUCCCAAGGGUAUGGCUGUUCGCCAUUUAAAGUGGUACGCGAGCUGGGUUUAGAACGUCGUGAGACAGUUCGGUCCCUAUCUGCCGUGGGCGCUGGAGAAUUGAGGGGGGCUGCUCCUAGUACGAGAGGACCGGAGUGGACGCAUCACUGGUGUUCGGGUUGUCAUGCCAAUGGCACUGCCCGGUAGCUAAAUGCGGAAGAGAUAAGUGCUGAAAGCAUCUAAGCACGAAACUUGCCCCGAGAUGAGUUCUCCCUGACUCCUUGA